AAGGGGUGCCUGCCUGUUGGCAGUGCUGAGAUCAUACCCAUACAACCUGAUGCAGAUAAUGCUGCCGUAGGGAUUUAAUG
rnacentral:ncRNA from 1 species